CAGGAAAGGCAUCUCAUGGACCAACUGAUGCAUUGUGAGGUUAUUAACAAUUGUGCAAAGUAGAGUGAUUAUACAGCUCCUCAGUUUCAGUGUUGACAUUUAGAAAUGGUAUAUUUCUCAUCACUGACAGUACGUGAGCAGCUGAACAAAAGUGAGCAGGAAAAGGAUAACCAAAGAAAGGCCUUUGAGGCAGAAAUGGCAGAACUCCAGGCCAGGUUUGAGGAGGAGAUACAGGUACUAGCUGGUGAGCUGACAGAGAAGGAUGUAACCAUCAGUUUGUUGAGAAGAGCUUAUCACCAGACACAAGAGCAACUGGAUAUUGUGACCUGUCGUAUAUCAGACUUCGGGAAAAACCCAAGCCAGCUUGGACCAAGACGCAUGUCAUGCAUCACGCAAGAACCAACAGAGCCAUAGUGCAACUCAUGACCACACCAAUACAUGUUUGACCAUAUUUUUUAUUCUUCUGUCAUAGAAUGUGUCUUAAAUGUGUUGUAUGACAUGUGGUGUCAAGGAGUACACUGUGAUGUAUUGAAACAGCAGCAACAACAAAAUUAUCUAUAUUGAUUGAACAUAUUAUUUUGUAUUCAUUUAGGAAGUCAAUGUGCAAGGGAGUAAGAAAUUGACCAUUUAGAAAAACACACGUGGAAAACGUUGCAUAUUAAAACUCUUCGGUUGUUCUUGCUU